AGUCUGCUUUUAGUGCAGGUGGUCGUGUGCUGGACGAAAAGAGGACGAGGCUUACUCCUCAAAUAUGCGAGGCACUUAUGUGUUUGAAGGAUUGGGAAGAUGCUGAUUUUCGAACUCAAAGUUUUGUAGAUGAAGAUCUCUCAUAUUUUGAAGAUGACAGCACAAGUUCCCUUAAUGAAGUUUGUUGAGGAUUAUUCUGGUCAAAGCGUGACCAGCAUAGCGUCAAAACUUUGAGGGUUCAUCACUGUGUUAUCUGGGACUGCUAUAUUGCAUAGUACACGAGGGCCAGAUCCACCUUUAAUUACAGGAACGUGAGAUGACAAAUGCUGAUAUUUUACCCGGUGUCCUAGAUUAAUUUUAUUUUCCUUUUUGUGUAAUUUGGGAGGGUAGUGGUACUCUUUUUCCUUGACCGGAUUUUCCUCCUUUGGGGGUUUUUUAAGGCAAGGUUUUAACGAGGCCACAUUUUUGCCCUCCACCUUUUUCAUAUUGUUUGGAUGUUUGAUUAUUAAUGUUUUCAAAUAGUUCAUCAUUCCUUGCUUCUAGUUAUAUGUUUUAUGUUUAUAAUUUUAAUUAUCUAGUGGGAAAAAAAAAAUCAAGUAAAAAAAAUUCAAAUUAAAUGGGCUUGUUCUUGGGCCCGAGUAUGGCCCGAGCACGAGCACGGGCACGGCCCAAGCACGGCACGGCCCGUUUCAAUAUGGACUUGGGCUUUGGGCCGGGCUGGGAUAAAUUAUUUUACUAAAUGGGCCAGCACGGCACGGCCCGAUAGAUUAAAUGGGCCGGCACGGCACGGCACGAAUACAUUAAAGGCACGAAUUUAAAUGGGUUGGGCCGGCCCGGCACGGCCCGUUUGACACCUCUACUCCAACUCCACCUCUACCUCCACCUUUAAAAUAUGAACAUAAUCUUUUAAAAAAAUCUCUGCAAAAACAAA